UACGAAGGGUGCGAGCGUUAAUCGGAAUUACUGGGCGUAAAGCGCACGUAGGCGGUUCGUUAAGUCGGAUGUGAAAUCCCUGGGCUCAACCUGGGAGCUGCAUUCGAUACUGGCGAGCUUGAGUACUGUAGAGGGUAGUGGAAUUUCCGGUGUAGCGGUGAAAUGCGUAGAGAUCGGAAGGAACACCAGUGGCGAAGGCGGCUACCUGGACAGAUACUGACACUGAGGCGCGAAAGCGUGGGGAGCAAACAGGAUUAGAUACCCUGGUAGU
rnacentral:rRNA from 1 species